rnacentral:rRNA from 1 species
UUUUUUUAUUUCCUUAGACUUAGACCGCGCAAGACAAGAAUUUUUCGCUAUUUACGAUUUCAUAUUCUUGUUACUAGAUGUUCUAUAGGAAUAAGAAGAAAUCACAACUACUUUGCGCUACACAUAAAAUUGGAUUUCGAAGGUCCAUUUUUUUCUUCAGAAUCCUCUAUUUUAGUUCUUCCACCCAUGCAAUAG